GGGUAGCUCUACAGUGGGUUACCAGUUAUUUAAAAAAUAGAAAACAAUGUGUGAAAAUAGGUGAUUAUCAGUCGAGUUGUCGACAAAUUGUGUGUGGUUUACCUCAAGGUUCCAUUCUGGGCCCAAAAUUGUUUAAUAUGUACAUCAACGACAUUUGUAAAACGUCUCAAGUACUUAAAUUUAUCUUGUUUGCUGACGAUACAAAUAUUUUUGCAUCAGGUGACGACUUACAGCAACUGUGUCGGAUUGUUAACUUGGAACUCAAAAGUGUCAAUAAGUGGUUCAAACAAAAUAAAUUAUCUCUAAAUCUGAGUAAAAGCAAAAUGAUGAUAUUUGGCAACUGUAAUUCCAAUGCUCAGGAAGCAAUUCAGAUAGAGGGUGUUGUCAUAGAGCGAGUGCAUGAAAUCAAAUUCCUUGGUGUUAUUAUAGAUGACAGAAUUACUUGGAAAGCUCAUAUUAAAUAUAUAUCUACGAAAAUUUCUAGAAGCAUUUCAGUAAUAGCAAAAGCAAAGCACAUUUUAAACAUCAAAGCUCUACAUAUCUUAUACUGUUCUCUGAUUUUGCCAUAUUUAUAUUAUUGUACUGUGGUUUGGGGUAGUACUUAUAAAAACACAUUAAAACCAAUAGUAUUGUUGCAAAAAAGAGCUAUCCGAGUAAUUCAUAAAGUUGGGUUUUUGGACCACACAAACUCAUUAUUUUUAAAAUCAAAGAUCAUGAAGUUCUGUGACAUUGUUGAGUUCCAAACUGUACAGAUGUUAUACAAAGCAAGAUACAAACUGUUGCCAGGCCAAAUACAAAGAAGGUUCCAAGAACGUACUGGUUGUUAUGAAUUACGUGACGAAUUAAACUUUAGGACUCAGAAACAUAGCUCAACUUUGAAAAGUUUUAGCCCAACAGUUAAUGGUGUACAAUUGUGGAAUAAACUGGAAAUGGAGUUGAAACGAAGUCCAAAUAUCAACCUGUUCAAAUAUAAAUACAAACAAAAGACUUUUGAAAUAUACAGAGAACAAGAAAUGUGUUGCCACUAGGAGGCGCAGUAGGAUCAAUUAUCUAUAAUCAAGGAAGAGUGUUG
rnacentral:lncRNA from 1 species